rnacentral:lncRNA from 1 species
AAAAAGAAAAGAAAGAAAAAAACAAAGAAAAGGCUCAUGGUUGUGUGGAUGUAAAAAAAAAGAGAUGAGAAAAGGAAAAAGACCGGGAUCAAAGAAAUGGAAAUUGUGUAGAGUUGAAUGUUUGGGAAUGCUCCCUUAGGAUAGGCAACUUUGUUGAAUUCUCUUAAUCAUAUCCUUUCUUGUAACCCAAGCCACAUUACAACCCUUGAAAGACCUCUUGAUUCUCAUUU